rnacentral:lncRNA from 1 species
CGGAGAUGCCCCGGUCGCUGUUCCCUGGGCGCCCGCUUCUCCAGGCGCCGGGGCGGAAGCCAGGAUCGAGAAGGAAGGGAGGCAGGGGCUCGGUCCACGCGGACCCUCUUCCUGCUGGCGGCGAACGCAGGUGCCAGGGGUCAUGCUGCGCCCCCCUUAGCGGCUCGCGCAAGUUGCCUGCGGAGCGCAUGUUGGCGAGAAACGAAGCAGCCUUCUGGGUUUGGUGCAUAUGUUUUCUAAGGAGGGUUUUUGUUUUGUUUUGUUUUUUUGGAGACUCCACUAGAGCGGCUGCAGCCAGAUGGAAGUAAUCAGAACCCAACAACGGAGAGAGGGUAGAAAAACCCUCGCUGAAUUUUCGGGCCAAAGUGUGGAUGGGACUAUGUGUCAAAAAACUUGCUUGAGCUAACUGGAGGAGUCCUGGGACCUCCAGCCACCCCACAGCCCAGAACUGGCCGCCCGACUUGGAGAAGGAGGAGGGCCGCUGGCUAGAGUGCCCUCCCAAGGCCUCCAAGGCUCCGGAAUCAUCCCAACAGUGCCUUACCAACUCAACUCCUGCUGGAAUCCAGACACUCACAGAACCUUUCCCGGAUUAUUUUGGCAAAAAAGAUGACUGUGGAGAAGAUGGAAUGUUUUCAGGUUAGGAGGGUUCUUUGAGCACCAUGCCUUACUGUCUAGAUGAUCAGAAGUGUGGGCACCAAAAACAGCAAGAGAAAGUUUGGAGUGGAGAUGUACUGGUGUGGCAGAGGAAGCCUUCCAGGGCACUGGACAUCAGGUCCUCGGCCCAAAUCUGUUACUCGGUGUAUACUCUCAGGCAAGUUCAAAUUCACUCAGUCAGCAUCUUUCUGUGUGCCAGGCACUACACUAAGUAGCCGGG